rnacentral:rRNA from 1 species
AGCGGCGGACGGGUGAGUAACGCGUGGGUAACCUGCCUCAUACAGGGGGAUAACAGUUAGAAAUGGCUGCUAAUACCGCAUAAGACCACAGUACCGCAUGGUACAGUGGUAAAAACUCCGGUGGUGUGAGAUGGACCCGCGUUUGAUUAGCUAGUUGGUGGGGUAACGGCCUACCAAGGCGACGAUCAAUAGCCGACCUGAGAGGGUGACCGGCCACAUUGGGACUGAGACACGGCCCAA